UGGCGAGCGGCGCACGGGUGAGUAACGCGUAGGCAACUUACCUCUUACAGGAGGAUAGCGCGGCGAAAGCUGGAUUAAUACUUCGGAUAUAUUGUUAAGGCAUCUUAAUAAUAUUAAAGAUCUAUCGGUAAGAGAUAGGCCUGCGUCCCAUUAGCUAGUUGGUAAGGUAAAAGCUUACCAAGGCAAUAAUGGGUAGGGGGUUUGAAAGGAUGAUCCUCCACACUGGCACUGAGACACGGGCCAGACUCCUACGGGAGGCAGCAGUGAGGAAUAUUGCGCAAUGGGCGAAAGCCUGACGCAGCCAAACCGCGUGCAGGAAGACGGUCGUAAGAUUGUAAACUGCUUUAGUAUCCGAGGAACAAUCAGAACGAGUUUUUGAUUUGACAGUAGGAUACGAACAAGCACCGGCUAACUCCGUGCCAGCAGCCGCGGUAAUACGGAGGGUGCAGGCGUUAUCCGGAUUUACUAGGUUUAAAGGGUCUGUAGGCUGUAUAUUAAGUCAGUGGUGAAAUGUCUGAGCUUAACUGAGGACUUGCCAUUUGAAACUGGUAUACUUUGAGUAUGGUUGCUGUCGGCGGAAUGUAUUAUGUAGCGGUGAAAUGCAUAGAUAUGAUACAGAACACCAAUUGCGAAAGCAGUUGAACAAAAAACCAGCACUUGACGCUGAUAGACGAAAGCGUGGGGAGCGAACAGGAUUAGAUACCCUGGUAGUCCACGCAUAAAACUAUGGGCACUAAUUUUUUGGCGAUAGACCAGUCAGAGACAAAGCGAAAGCGUUAAGUUGCCCACCUGGGGAUUACGUUCGCCAGGAAAUGAAUUCAACAGGAUUUGACGGGGGGCCCGCACAAGCGGAGGAACAUGUGGUUUAAUUCGAUGAUACGCGAGGAACCCUUACCUGGGCUUANAUGCUAGGCGUCUUCGGGCGUAGUCUGUAGAAAUACAGCUUAAACUUGCAAGGUGCUGCAUGGUUGUCGUCAGCUCGUGCCGUGAGGUGUCGGGUUAAGUCCCAUAACGAGCGCAACCCACAUUCUU
rnacentral:rRNA from 1 species